CUGGACAACUGAGCCUUUUGGUUUUCUCCAUCUUACCCCAAAAUAAUCAGAAUGGAAUAAAAAUAUUUACAACGCUGGCAUUCUAAGAAAAAGAUGUAUGGACAUGGCAUCAGGAUAAGCUGACAGACAGCUGAAUGAUUUCGAAGACACGAACAGAUGAAGGGAAGAAACAGUAUCUCGUGUUCUUGAAAAACUGGGAGAAAAAGUAGAGAGGCUGUGGCAGCUGAAAGCAUCCAAACUUAGAAAUCAAAAUGUUGCUGUAUGCCUUUUAAAUACAGGAGCUGCAUGGAUAUGUUAAACACUACAAAUCAGGUACUACCAUCUCCCCUAUCCACAUUUCUGAUUUUGCUUAUCAGCGUUUGCAAAGUCUGAAGUGUUUCUGUGGCAGUUGUUUGUCCAUUUGAAUCCUAAAACCCAGAGCACUUUAGCUUCUUCGUUUUCUAUUAAGUUGUCUAUGUGUUGUGG